UACGAAGGGUGCGAGCGUUGUCCGGAAUUAUUGGGCGUAAAGAGCUCGUAGGCGGUGUGUCACGUCGGCCGUGAAAACCUGGGGCUUAACUCUGGGCGUGCGGUCGAUACGGGCAUCACUAGAGUUCGGCAGGGGAGACUGGAAUUCCUGGUGUAGCGGUGAAAUGCGCAGAUAUCAGGAGGAACACCGGUGGCGAAGGCGGGUCUCUGGGCCAUUACUGACGCUGAGGAGCGAAAGCGUGGGGAGCGAACAGG
rnacentral:rRNA from 1 species